rnacentral:rRNA from 1 species
GUCGAGAAUAAUUCACAAUGGGGGCAACCCUGAUGGUGCAACGCCGCGUGGAGGAUGAAGGUCUUCGGAUUGUAAACUCCUGUCAUCCGGGAGCAAGACCUGACGGUGAAUAGCCGGCAGGGUUGAUAGUACCGGAAGAGGAAGGGACGGCUAACUUCGUGCCAGCAGCCGCGGUAAUACGAAGGUCCCGAGCGUUGUUCGGAAUCACUGGGCGUAAAGGGAGCGUAGGCGGUGCGGCAAGUCAGAUGUGAAAUCCCGGGGCUCAACCCCGGAACUGCAUCCGAUACUGCCGUGCUAGAGGAUUGGAGAGGUAGCUGGAAUUCACGGUGUAGCAGUGAAAUGCGUGGAUAUCGUGAGGAACACUCGUGGCGAAAGCGAGCUACUGGACAACUCCUGACGCUGAGGCUCGAAGGCCAGGGGAGCGAAAGGGAUUAGAUACCCGAGUAGUCC